AUUGAACGCUGGCGGCAAGCCUAACACAUGCAAGUCGAACGAGUGGCGGACGGGUGAGUAAUGUCUGGGAAACUGCCUGAUGGAGGGGGAUAACUACUGGAAACGGUAGCUAAUACCGCAUACCAUCGGAUGUGCCCAGAUGGGAUUAGCUAGUAGGUGGGGGAAAGGCUCACCUAGGCGACGAUCCCUAGCUGGUCUGAGAGGAUGACCAGCCACACUGGAACUGAAACACGGUCCAGACUCCGACGGGAGGCAGCAGUAGGGAAUAUUACACAAUGGGCACAAGCCUAAUGCAGCCAUGCCGCGUGUAUGGAGAAGGCCUUCAAAUUGUAAGGUACUUUCAGCGAGGAGGCGUUAACCACAGAAGAAGCACCGGCUAACUCCGUACCAGCAGCCGCGGUGAUAC
rnacentral:rRNA from 1 species